rnacentral:lncRNA from 1 species
CCUUUGAUCCAUUUUGGGCCUCUCUUUGCAAAUGCUUUUGUCUGCCUCACCUCCUAUUGAACUAUACUCUAAUUUCUGACUUUUUUUAAGCUAGAAAACAGGAGUCAGUGUCAUGCAUGGAUUCACUGCUCAGCUCUGUGGCCAGCAUGAGGAAAACAAGAUUGGAAAAUAAAGGACAUUAGCCAACACCAAAGGCAAAGCUCACUCUGAUGUGUUAUGGAAUCAUCUUGAGAAAUUCCCUCCAUCCCCAGAAUUAGAAUCUGGACUGUGUUCUGAAGCAUAAGGAAGCAGAGGAAACAAAGAAGGACAAGGACCAGCAGACCUGAUUCCUGUCACAGUUGUUUUUAUUACUGCCCUGCUAAAUCAUCUCUGGAAGUUCCUGCACUCCCAACCUGAAUUGCUUCCCAGCAGUCGCAAAAAGACCCUACAGCCACGUGUUAGCAGUGGGAGUCACCAGUGAUUGUCACAGCACCUUGUGUUUCUUUCUUUCUGAAUUACUUCUGCCUCGAAAUACAAUAACUGGCAGGCCCAGAGUGAACUGGCCUGGGUAGGUGUUCCUGUAUUCAUUUAUACUGAUACAAGAAAAAUCAUGAUUUCAAAAGUCAGCCUCUUACUCAGGCAAGACUACCACAGCAGACAAUACUGGCAUACCGUGUACUGGGGUGUUGGCAGAGAGUAGCUGCUUCAGACUGCAGCAAGACUGCUUUUUAAGUUAAUUGCUUCCUCCCUGCCACUGCAGGAUCAUGCACAGCAAUUUAUGGCAUCAUUUUAUGUUGGUUAUUAGUACUAAAACCUUUUGUCACUUGAAUAACUUUCACUUAAUUUGAAGCAUAUGCUAUAAGCUUGAAAUGCAAAGUGUACCUUUGAAAAACAGAAAUUACUGUCACUGGGAGUUAGUGGAUGAGGGAGGCAAG